rnacentral:rRNA from 13 species
GCCGGUCCCAAGGGUAUGGCUGUUCGCCAUUUAAAGAGGUACGCGAGCUGGGUUUAGAACGUCGUGAGACAGUUCGGUCCCUAUCUGCCGUGGACGUUGGAGAUUUGAGGAAAGCUGCUCCUAGUACGAGAGGACCGGAGUGGACGAACCUCUGGUGUUCGGGUUGUGACGCCAGUCGCAUUGCCCGGUAGCUAUGUUCGGACAGGAUAACCGCUGAAAGCAUCUAAGCGGGAAGCCCCUUCCAAGAUGAGAUCUCCCUGGACCCUCGAGGUCCCUGAAGAGCCGUUCAAGACCAGGACGUUGAUAGGUCGGGUGUGUAAGCGCUGCGAGGCGUUGAGCUAACCGAUACUAAUUGCUCGUGCGGCUUGACU